rnacentral:tRNA from 1 species
CAACCUUAACACUAACCCUACUAUUUUAUUAACACAACCGAUAAACCACCAAAACAAUCACACCAAAAUUA